UACGAAGGGGGCUAGCGUUGCUCGGAAUUACUGGGCGUAAAGGGUGCGUAGGCGGUUCUUUAAGUCAGAGGUGAAAUCCUGGAGCUCAACUCCAGAACUGCCUUUGAUACUGAGGAUCUUGAGUUCGGGAGAGGUGAGUGGAACUGCGAGUGUAGAGGUGAAAUUCGUAGAUAUUCGCAAGAACACCAGUGGCGAAGGCGGCUCACUGGCCCGAUACUGACGCUGAGGCACGAAAGCGUGGGGAUCAAACAGG
rnacentral:rRNA from 1 species